rnacentral:rRNA from 1 species
CCUACGGGUGGCAGCAGUGGGGAAUAUUGCACAAUGGGGGAAACCCUGAUGCAGCGACGCCGCGUGAGUGAAGAAGUAUUUCGGUAUGUAAAGCUCUAUCAGCAGGGAAGAAAAUGACGGUACCUGAUUAAGAAGCCCCGGCUAACUACGUGCCCGCAGCCGCGGUAAUACGUAGGGGGCACGCGUUAUCCGGAUUUACUGGGUGUAAAGGGAGCGUUGGCGGCAUCGCAAGGCUGAAGUGAAAUGCCGGGGCUUAACCCCGGUGCUGCUUUGGAAACUGGGCAGCUAGAGUGCAGGAGAGGUAAGUGGAAUUCCUAGUGUAGCGGUGAAAUGCGUAGAUAUUAGGAGGAACACCAGUGGCGAAGGCGGCUUACUGGACUGUAACUGACGUUGAGGCUCGAAAGCGUGGGGAGCAAACAGGAUUAGAUACCCUUGUAGUC